rnacentral:misc_RNA from 1 species
GAACGCACCUUGCGCCCUUUGGCUAUUCUGAAGGGCAUGCCUGUUUGAGUAUCAUGAACACCUCAACUCUCAUGGUCCGCCAUGAUGAGCUUGGACUAUGGGGGUCUUGCCGGCCUAGCGUCGGCUCCUCUCAAAUGGAUCAGCUUCCCAGUGUUUGGUGGCGUCACAGGUGUGAUAACUAUCUACGCUUGUGGUUUUCCACCAUUAACCUUCAGCAAUGGAGGUUCGCUGGAGCUUACAGAUGUCUUUCCUUGGGGAGGACAGCUUCUUGAAUGUCUGAAUUAAAAUCAGGUAGGACUACCCGCGGAACUUA